CACUCUGGACUCUGAAUCCAGCGAUCCG
rnacentral:piRNA from 6 species